rnacentral:rRNA from 1 species
UACGUAGGGGGCAAGCGUUGUCCGGAAUUAUUGGGCGUAAAGCGCGCGCAGGCGGUCCUUUAAGUCUGAUGUGAAAGCCCACGGCUCAACCGUGGAGGGUCAUUGGAAACUGGGGACUUGAGUGCAGAAGAGGAGAGUGGAAUUCCACGUGUAGCGGUGAAAUGCGUAGAGAUGUGGAGGAACACCAGUGGCGAAGGCGGCUCACUGGCCCGGUACUGACGCUGAGGUGCGAAAGCGUGGGGAGCAAACAGG